CCUGGCUCAGGAUGAACGCUAGCGGCAGGCUUAACACAUGCAAGUCGAGGGGCAGCGGGAUGUAGCAAUACAUUGCCGGCGACCGGCGGAUGGGUGCGUAACGCGUAUGCAACCUACCUUAUACAGGGGAAUAACCUUUCGAAAGGGAGACUAACACCCCAUAGUAUUGAUUUAAGGCAUCUUAGAUUAAUUAAAUAUUUAUAGGUAUAAGAUGGGCAUGCGUAUGAUUAGCUAGUUGGUAAGGUAACGGCUUACCAAGGCGACGAUCAUUAGGGGUUCUGAGAGGAAGGUCCCCCACACUGGUACUGAGACACGGACCAGACUCCUACGGGAGGCAGCAGUGAGGAAUAUUGGUCAAUGGGCGCAAGCCUGAACCAGCCAUGCCGCGUGCAGGAAAGACGGCCUUAUGGGUUGUAAACUGCUUUUACAUAAGACUAACCGUAUAUUUGCGAAUAUACCUGAAUGUAUUAUGAGAAUAAGGAUCGGCUAACUCCGUGCCAGCCGCAGC
rnacentral:rRNA from 1 species